UACGUAGGGUGCGAGCGUUAAUCGGAAUUACUGGGCGUAAAGCGUGCGCAGGCGGUUUUGUAAGCCAGAUGUGAAAUCCCCGGGCUUAACCUGGGAAUGGCAUUUGGGACUGCAAGGCUUGAGUGCGGCAGAGGAGACUGGAAUUCCUGGUGUAGCAGUGAAAUGCGUAGAUAUCAGGAGGAAUACCGAUGGCGAAGGCAGGUCUCUGGGCUGACACUGACGCUCAUGCACGAAAGCGUGGGGAGCAAAC
rnacentral:rRNA from 1 species